CGCUAGCGGCAGCUUAAUACAUGCAAGUCGAGGGGCAGCAUGAAGUAGCAAUACUUUGAUGGCGACCGGCAAACGGGUGCGGAACACGUACACAACCUUCCUUUUAGUGGGGAAUAGCCCAGAGAAAUUUGGAUUAAUACCCCGUAACAUAACUGAGUGGCAUCACUCGGUUAUUAUAGCUUCGGCGCUAAAUGAUGGGUGUGCGUAUGAUUAGAUAGUUGGCGAGGUAACGGCUCACCAAGUCUACGAUCAUUAGCUGAUGUGAGAGCAUGAUCAGCCACACGGGCACUGAGACACGGGCCCGACUCCUACGGGAGGCAGCAGUAAGGAAUAUUGGUCAAUGGACGCAAGUCUGAACCAGCUAUGCCGCGUGAAGGAUUAAGGUCCUCUGGAUUGUAAACUUCUUUUAUCUGGGACGAAAAAAGGUCUUUCUAGACCCCUUGACGGUACCAGAUGAAUAAGCACCGGCUAACUCCGUGCCAGCAGCCGCGGUAAUACGGAGGGUGCAAGCGUUAUCCGGAUUCACUGGGUUUAAAGGGUGCGUAGGCGGGUAGGUAAGUCAGUGGUGAAAUCCUGGAGCUCAACUCCAGAACUGCCAUUGAUACUAUCUAUCUUGAAUAUUGUGGAGGUAAGCGGAAUAUGUCAUGUAGCGGUGAAAUGCUUAGAUAUGACAUAGAACACCCAUUGCGAAGGCAGCUUACUACGCAUAUAUUGACGCUGAGGCACGAAAGCGUGGGGAUCAAACAGGAUUAGAUACCCUGGUAGUCCACGCCCUAAACGAUGGAUACUCGACAUACGCGAUACACUGUGUGUGUCUGAGCGAAAGCAUUAAGUAUCCCACCUGGGNAGUAC
rnacentral:rRNA from 1 species